rnacentral:rRNA from 1 species
GACAGAGGGGGCAAGCGUUGCUCGGAAUUACUGGGCGUAAAGGGCGCGUAGGCGGGAUGGCAAGUCGGUCGUGAAAUCCUUCGGCUCAACCGAAGAACGUCGAUCGAUACUGCUGUUCUUGAGGGUUGCAGAGGAGACUGGAAUUCCCGGUGUAGCGGUGAAAUGUGUGGAGAUCGGGAGGAACACCGGUGGCGAAGGCGGGUCUCUGGGCCUUACCUGACGCUCAGGUGCGAAAGCUAGGGGAGCGAACAGG